CGUAACGUAAACACUUUGUUUUGGGGGGCGGCUCGUUUGGCGCAUUUUCCGUGAGUUAUUAAAAUGCGAUAAAAGCCAGUGAAUCGCUUCCGCUGUUGGGCUAUCUUGGAAAACAUUCAAAGUAUCUUUCGGAUGUGUGCUCUACUUUUGGGUGUUUAUGGCAUUUAAAUCAAUAAUGUCGCAUGACAGCGUCUCACUCCACACUCCACCACUCCUUUCGACCGCUUUCCCAUUUUCCACUCCCGCUGCGAGUGCAAUUUGUGCGGAUUUGUUGCCUCCAUCUGGCUGAAGUGCACCCGACUACGUGGCGCUGUAUUAGAAAAAGGCGGCAUUGAAAAGACGCUCUGGGCAAAAUUUUAAUGAAGAUGCUGAUGCUGAUGCCGCUGCAGCCCAAAAACGGCCCAGUUCCCAGUUCCCAGCUCCCCUGCUCUCUGGACGGUUUUGUGGCAUUUUAAUUUGCUAAGCGUGUCCAAGUGUCCGGUUAAAUUUACACAAAGCUGCCACAAACUCAAUUUGCAUGGCCACAAUUGCCGGGCGUUGAAAGUGAGAAACGAACAGCACAACUUGGGCUUGCAACAUUUUAAUCAAAUGUGUAAAAACUAUUUGCAGCACUAGCAUUCCACCUACGUCUCCAUCUGCAAAUGGCAGACAUCACAUCAUCAUGAGGGCCAUUGGAUGGAUGGGAUGGGAUGGGCGGGGCCACUGGAGACCACGUCUCCUCCAUUAAUUUGUUAAUUAAGCUUAAUGUGCAAUUAAAGCUUCAAGGAAUGCGAACCCAACUUGGGUCUCAGGUCCAAGCUGAUUUAAUUUGAAUUUCGGUUUAGUCCGAAUUCGAGGGUUAGGCGGCACAAAUUACGUCUAAUGUCCUGCACAUGCGGCUGUGAAUGCUCUUUUUUUCUGGACACCGCAUUAUCUUAAGCUCAUAAAUUUAACCCAUUUUUUGUACGUACAUACACUUAUAAGAAAAGCCCAUCAGGUUGGGCUAAAUUUCCCAGAAGGGUCGUAAGGCUCCGAGAUGGAAAACUUUUAGAUUACCUGGCUGGCACACAAAAAAAAAAGAAAGACAGAAGCCAAAAUGGACCUAAUCAAAGGUGCAAAGUUGGAGUCAUUUGGUUGCUUCUCCUUUUGCAGCAAUUAAGCAUCAGCAGGAUGAUAUUAACUUAAUGACUCACAGGAUCAUAAUACGGGUUUCCUUUCAAAAUUUGAAUAUGUUCUUAAUAAUUUUCCCUGCAGUUAUUAAUUUAUGUGCUCUAUAAUUAAAUCACUGUACCAAUUGUUGAAUGUAUUUCUGAACUAACCACUCACGAAAUCACUUUGCUGACCACAAGAUUUCGAUUUAGCCCCCAUUUGGCUUCCGUUCGGCCCAUUUCCCCCUUGUGCAGUUCCUGGGCGAUUCCUGCGCCAGUUCCCGUUGCCCAAGUCCAUUUGCUCUUGGCACUUCACUAAUCUGUCCAUUGUGAGACAUUGAAAGUGGGCGGCCUAGCAGGCCUAGCCACGCCCCUCUGUCCCCACGGUUCUUCAUAACUGCUUGGGUGGAUGUGGAUGCGGAUGUGUGUGUGUGUGGGAGGCGGCGAAUUUACGACCACAGUCAACACUCAUGGUUAACUCAUGGUCAAUGAGCGGGUUUACGAACUUCCGAGCACAGGUUGCUUGAGAGGGCGGCAAAAAGCCAAGGGACAGGUUGGCAUGGAGUGCGGGGGGUGGUGGUGCAAGGACGUAUUAUACACCAGAGAGCAUCCUUCACGAUUACUUAAUAUUAAUGACGCCAGGCUGUGUGGUCACUCGGUGGCCCUUGGUCGUGGUCCCAGGUCUAUUCCCCCACCAACCAUCUUCACUUUCUCCCUUGUCGCUUGUUUUUUGCACAGCAAAUAAUAUCGAGCAUUUUAUUUAAUAGGAUAUUGUAUUUCAAAUCAAUUUUUGAAUGUCAAAAAGUAUGAAGAAUGACAAAGUCUAAUGAUUUGCAAUUGACAUAAAUCGUUAAAAAAAAUCAGGGUAUGUUUAUAGCCUUUCUCAAUAAAAAUUUUGAAAUAAAGACGGCGGAAUUCAAAUUUUUGUUUUCAGUGCAGUAUCUUGAGUACUGAGAUCCUUGCGCUGAUGUCGCAAAUCUAACAUUGCCGCCGAUGAAAAACUUUGCCGCUUUGGUCUUUUGUAAUGAAUGCCCUUUUAUCUGUAUUAGUUUCUGUGUGUGUGGGAGAAUCCCUCCUCUUGGCCAUGGCCAAAACGAACGGUUUAUCUUGGCCUAUUUUGUUCGACAGCCGCUGCUGCUGGGAAUAUUUGCCUAAGCUGAUUUAACUACAUUAACUUGAUUAAAUAAGUAUUAAACAGUCAAGGGAGGAGCAAACUGUUUGCGCACAGAUGCGGGUAUGCGGGUAUUUGGCUCAUCUCCACGACUUGCCACUCACUUUUUUAUGGGUUCUAUUGAUUGAUUUCGAAUUACAAUAAAUGCUUUGCUCCCACUGCUACCAGUUGUUUUGCUCCGGGCACAAAAAAGAGUUCAGAGUUCGCUCCGCAGUGUGUAUGGAACUUUAGGAACUCAUUACUAUCACUAAGUGAAUAGCAAAGAAGUUUAUAAUAGCAUUUAAAUCGCUGAACUUGCGUUUGAGCAAUUGAAUUUGUAUCCUUGCUUAUACAAAACAGGGUAGAUAUCUUCGAAUCCAGUAAAUCCUCAAUCUGCAAUCCACAAUCCCACAAUUUUGCCCGCCAGCUGUUUGCUUUUGCGAUAGAAUGUGGCUCGAUUGUUGUUCGAAUGAAAUCUGUUAGAACAACAUUAUUGCUGUGGAUUCCUCAUGCGGCACGCACAUUGCAUAAAUAGUUUGAUUGGGACACGGAUCGAGAUUACCAUCUUGUUCUAAGGCCAAGUAAUUAACAUUCCCAUGGCGCUAAGUGAAAGCCAAGGUCAGCGAAUGCAAUUUGGGCCAUUUUCGUUAUUGGGCUUUUCGGUUCUGGCUGGCAGAUUCCCUCGAUGGGUUGCUCUAUACUUGUUGUCUUGUUGUCACUGGAAUUGCAGUGAACCCGAAAGAUAGAGGAGCAGUGAGACAGAGCAAACGGGAAAUGGAAAAUGGAAAAUUCUGCUUUCAUAACUCUGUUAGCGCGCACUCACUGGCUCUCUAAGUCAGGGAAAUGGAAUGCGGAAAGCAUAAUUUAAUGAAAAGUCAUCAAAGCAAUGCACCAGAGAGAUUGCGAUUUCAAACUUUUCGAUUUCAUUCAACAAACAGUGCGUUCGGCCGCAGGAAGCCAUUUAAAUAAGUCAGCCAUUAAAUUCUGCUUAAUUUAUGCUAAGUGGAAAAUCUGUUUUGCUCAUAACGCUUCACCGGCGCGCCCGUUUGCCCAUAAAUAUGGAGCAUAAAAAUAUAUUAUAACCAUAUAUAUUAUUACGGGCUGGCAAAAAUUAAUGUCAUCAUCGAGCCGCAAGCAAAUUGGCUACGAAGCCCAUCUGAAUAAUUGCCUGCGAAUCUGUCGCAGGACAUCUGCACAUGUCUGCCCUGCUGGCCAAUUUGUAGUUGAGUGUCGGCCAGGAUUUGGCCACUCCUUUCUUCCUUGGCUGUCUCGGUCUUUCGGUCGCUCCGUUGCUAGUCUCCUCCGUCUGACAGCUCUGAAAAUGAGCAAAUUUUUGGGUCGUCAUUCGAGUUAAUAAUAAACAGACACAAGCAGAACCACACACACACACACACGUGCAAGCAAGGACAUUUGAAGAGAAGAGAACGGAACGGAACGGAACAGAAAUAAACAAAGAAGAGACAGAGGAGGCGGGUGUUCCUGGGAACCCACCAAAUUGCGCUUCAUUUAUUUAUAAUAAUUACAACUAUAAAAAGUUUUAAAAGUCAUUUCAAUGGCAGUCGGUGCCAGGGUCUCCAGCUCAAGUAUGCGGGCUAAUAGGUCUGCAUAGAAUGGUAAAUAAGGACGAAGGAAGCGGCAGGACCAACUAUGUCCAGUCCUGAAUAAUGAAUACCGUGAGAAAUUGAACUAUUAUUUGCCGUGGGGCAAUUGGGGUCGAGAAUCGCAGCGGUGUGGAGUGGCGCCACACUUUGUUGCCCGGCAAAUUUAAAUUUAAUUCCCUGAAUUAUGGCCACAAUUUACCAGGACACGGAAGCAUUCCUCCCAUGCCAGCUGACCAGUUGGCUUGCAUAAUCUGCGCUUAAAAAUGGGCGUAAUGUUUAAUGCUUUUUUGCCCAAGUGGCACUCGCACUCGCGCCAUCUCAGUUUUAUUUUUAAUUCAUUCCUUUAUUUAACACUGUUUGUUUAUAUUUAUGAUUGUGUUAAAUCAAUUGCUGCGCGGCAGAGCCCUGUAAAUUUUAUGCUUCAAUUUGGCCUUUUAUUUAUUUUGCUUUAUUAUUCUUAUUUAUUUUUUUUUUAUGAUUUUUUUCGCUGUAAUCAAUAAUGGGAUGAAUGGAAUGAGCAGCGGGUGAUUGAAUGGCCAGUAGCUGCGCAUUUCAAUAAAGCAUUAAAUUAAAAUUAAAUUUACAAAAGCAAACGCAAUUAAGUUGCCAAACAGUCGAUAACGAGUGCAUCGACAUUGAACCGCCCUCGUCCUUUGGUCCUUUCAUUUUUGUUCCACUGACAGUCACUUAAUUAACGCAAAUUAUUUGCAAUGCCAAUAAGCUGUCAGUGUAUAUUAGGUUUUGAGGUUUCAUUGCCAGGCCCGUUUUUCCAGCUAGUUUAAGUGCCGAUGCCGAUUGAAUGGGAUUGAAUAUUUUAUUGCGUUCAAUGGGCCAAACUCUUCUCUCGAUUGACGCCAAAAAGUAAUUCCUUCCACCAUGGAAGUUCUCAAUUUGUGGGCCCUCGAAAGUAUGCAACACUUUUCGACAGGCGAGGAGGGCAUCGUGCAGGAUUGAAUAUUGCUUCAUUGCAAAACACUUUAUUGGAUUUCCGGGCAGGAGCUCUCGAAAAAGGAUUCCCUUGGGAGAAAUGACUGCAGUGGUUUUUGGACAAGAGCAGCAAAGCUGAAAUUAUUCAAUUUCCCAGCUAUCCAAUGACCUAACUACUUUUGACAAUAUUUUGUGGGUUACGGUUACUUACAUUUGAUCACAGUUGAUAUUUUUGCAUAUUGUGUGUGUUCUGAAAACGUUCGAGUUAUGUGAGAUUCGCAUGUCACUUUUCAGCUUUUAACUGAUUUUAAAGCGUUUAAAUCUCUUUCAAAACAUUAAUUGCAUAUGCUGCAGUUUCAUAGCAUGUAAUUAUUCAGUUCUUUUCGGAUAAUUUACAUUCGACUCGCUCACAUUUCGCGCACAUUUCGGUGACCUUGAACUCGCUCACAUUUCAUUUUGAGAAUUUUCCCGUUCAGGUCACAGAAGCUGCUCACGUGAAAUUUGACCCAAUGGCGCCCGCCAACACCACCCACAUACCCCACUUGGUACCUCCCCCCCUCCCCGGAAAAACAACCCCCCUGGCCGGCCGACAGUCCGUUGCUUUAAUUACUCUUGCGGAAAAUUGCUUCAACUCUCAACUUUGUUGAGUGUUAAGCAUUUGGCACGAAACCAAAAAAAAAAACACAACGUGAAAAAGCCGACACG